rnacentral:rRNA from 1 species
ACAGGGAUUGCCCUAGUAACGGCGAGUGAAGCGGCAACAGCUCAAAUUUGAAAUCUGGCUCUUUUAGAGUCCGAGUUGUAAUUUGCAGAGGGCGCUUUGGCUUUGGCAGCGGUCCAAGUUCCUUGGAACAGGACGUCACAGAGGGUGAGAAUCCCGUACGUGGUCGCUGGCUAUUGCCGUGUAAAGCCCCUUCGACGAGUCGAGUUGUUUGGGAAUGCAGCUCUAAAUGGGAGGUACAUUUCUUCUAAAGCUAAAUAUUGGCCAGAGACCGAUAGCGCACAAGUAGAGUGAUCGAAAGAUGAAAAGCACUUUGGAAAGAGAGUCAAACAGCACGUGAAAUUGUUGAAAGGGAAGCGCUUGCAGCCAGACUUGCUUACAGUUGCUCAUCCGGGUUUCUACCCGGUGCACUCUUCUGUAGGCAGGCCAGCAUCAGUUUGGGCGGUAGGAUAAAGGUCUCUGUCACGUACCUCCUUUCGGGGAGGCCUUAUAGGGGAGACGACAUACUACCAGCCUGGACUGAGGUCCGCGCAUCUGCUAGGAUGCUGGCGUAAUGGCUGUAAGCGGCCCGUCUUGAAACACGGACCAAGGAGUCUAACAUCUAUGCGAGUGUUUGGGUGUCAAGCCCGAGCGCGUAAUGAAAGUGAACGGAGGUGGGAACCCGCAAGGGUGCACCAUCGACCGAUCCUGAUGUCUUCGGAAGGAUUUGAGUAAGAGCAUGGCUGUUGGGACCCGAAAGAUGGUGAACUAUGCUUGAAUAGGGUGAAGCCAGAGGAAACUCUGGUGGAGGCUCGCAGCGGUUCUGACGUGCAAAUCGAUCGUCAAAUUUGGGCAUAGGGGGCGAAAGACUAAU